rnacentral:rRNA from 1 species
UACGGAGGGUGCGAGCGUUGUCCGGAAUCACUGGGCGUAAAGGGCGCGUAGGUGGCCUGUGGAAGUCUGCGGUGAAAGCCCGGCGCUCAACGCCGGGUCGGCCGUGGAUACUCUCGGGCUCGAGCUUACUAGAGGCAGAUGGAAUUCCGGGUGUAGCGGUGGAAUGCGUAGAGAUCCGGAAGAACAUCGGUGGCGAAGGCGGCCUGCUGGGCAGUAGCUGACGCUGAGGCGCGACAGCGCGGGGAGCAAACAGG